UUACCGCCCGGAACUCGAUGUCAAACCAGAGGGAUUUUUUUUGUUGGUUUCUUUGAAACAUUUAAAUCACAGGCGACGAAGAGAAAGAAGCGAAGAUAACAAAAAAGAGAAAUAAGCGAAGAGGAAAAAACGAGAAAGAUGCGUAGACGAAAAAAAAGAGUGGGGCCCCCGGAUGCGUGACGUCACCCGGCACGCCGCUGCCAUGGCGACCGCGCCGUUACCGCCCGGAACUCGAUGUCAAACCAGAGGGAUCUUUUUUUUUCCUUUAAAAUCUUCAAACCGCAGGCGACGAAGAGAAAGAAGCGAAGAUAACAAAAAAGAGAAAUAAGCGAAGAGAAAAAAAGCCAAUGGGGCCCCGGUAUGCGUGACGUCACCCGGCACGCCGUUGCCAUGGCGACCGCGCGCCGUUACCGCUCGCAACUCGAUGUCAAACUAAAGGGAUAAUUUUUUUUCUUCCUUUAAAUCUUCAAAGCUCAGGCGGCGAAGAGAUAGAAGCGAAGACGAAAGAAGCGAAGACGAAAGGCAAAGGGGGCCCCUUGAAUGCGUUCCACGAGGUCCAUCGAGCACGCGGGUGACUGCACAUGGAGGAGCGACUCGAGGCAACUCGGCAUGGGAAAUCAUCAAAAUCUCGACGUUUCGGAGGCAACACAAGCUUCCGUCUUCAGGUGCGUGACGUCAUUUAUGGACGGCCCCUUACCCCACUACACGCGACCUGCCGAUUGCCUGCCCUGUACCCAUGGACACUGAUGGGUGGACAGAGGUGAAGUUCGGGAUCCUCUCAGCGAGGACGCGUGCCCGCAUGCUCGCCUCCACCGCGUCGGCCUCCUUGGCGUGGAGGUCGUUCACGGGGUCCAGGGGCCUCAGGGCCCCACUGCCGCCGCCACCGGCGGCCGCCGCCUCCGCCAGACGCAUCAGCUCCUGCGUCGCCGUGGUCACCGACUGGCCGGGCGGGUCGCUCCUGGAAGGGCGACACGAGUCAACACGUGCGUCUCCACGUUUUUGGGGGGUGGGGGUGAAGUGUAUUCAAAGGGAGGGGGGUAAACGUCGCGAUCGACGCCACGACCCGGGUUUUCUCCCGUGCGCGAGUCACCGGCAGCGACACGGCUUUUGCACGAACGUAUCGUUCGUAUCGGAUCACCGUUACAUUUCAGUUUCAUUUAUUGGGUAUAGCCCUGUGAGCCAUUCGGCUCUUGAAUCGGGUGCAACCGCAACAAACAAAAACAUGAACAAGAGAGCCAUCGUGGCCCAGUGCUACAGACGGACAUAACUAACGCGUAGGACAAGUCCCUAACAGCAACGGGGCUUUACACUAAAGUAUCGUUCGUACAAAAUCGACUUUACGCAGCUCCGAUUAGCACGGUUGGCUGCGUACUCGUGCGAAAGAAGUUCGACAAAUAUACACACAUUUACGAGGGUUAUCGUGUCCCAGCGUUACAGACGGACAAGACUAACACACAGGCCGAGUUCUUAAUUGCGGCUUUACACUAAAGUGUCAUUCGUGUCGGAUCACCUUUACAAGAGUCAUCGUGACCGCGUGUUAGAUGGACGGAACUAACGCAAAACGUUAAGACAUAUUAGUCUCAAAAGUAUAUGAACCCGAUGGCCAAAACGACAUUUCACAGCCCGUCCACCAUAGCCAACCAACAAUCGUCCCACAUCAACGCGUGUACAUCUGCAGCCCUUUGUCAAUCCACUGCUGGAUGAAGGCCUCCCCAUCCCGUGUAAGUUAGGGGGAGGCGGUCAUGGAUUUUUUUUCUCCGGGUGCUCCGGUUUUUCCCUCUACAUUUAGACGCAUGCGUUUUGAUUAUUGUGCCGCUGUAAAUUUUCACACGAUAAGCCACUACGUUGAGCUACAAUUUGUGGUUCAGGCGCUUCUGAAAAGUGUAGCUAAUAUCUCAAUGGGCCUUACCUGGUAAGAUUAAAAAAAAGUUUCGUUGCAUUUGUAUAUUCUUUUCAGCCCGUGUUUACUUUUCCUAUACUUUGCACUCCUAUUGUGUUUUUUUAUUACUUGAUGUAACCUUCUUACCCGCCCCUACUGGACAUCUGUGAAAAAGAGCUUUACAGCUCAUCGGAUUCCUCCAGUAUAAAUAAAUAUUUAGAUUCUGAUUUGACUGUACUUGA